rnacentral:rRNA from 1 species
GAUGAACGCUGGCGGCGUGCCUAAUACAUGCAAGUCGAGCGAACAGACGAGGAGCUUGCUCCUCUGACGUUAGCGGCGGACGGGUGAGUAACACGUGGAUAACCUACCUAUAAGACUGGGAUAACUUCGGGAAACCGGAGCUAAUACCGGAUAAUAUAUUGAACCGCAUGGUUCAAUAGUGAAAGACGGUUUUGCUGUCACUUAUAGAUGGAUCCGCGCCGCAUUAGCUAGUUGGUAAGGUAACGGCUUACUAAGGCAACGAUGCGUAGCCGACCUGAGAGGGUGAUCGGCCACACUGGAACUGAGACACGGUCCAGACUCCUACGGGAGGCAGCAGUAGGGAAUCUUCCGCAAUGGGCGAAAGCCUGACGGAGCAACGCCGCGUGAGUGAUGAAGGUCUUCGGAUCGUAAAACUCUGUUAUUAGGGAAGAACAAAUGUGUAAGUAACUAUGCACGUCUUGACGGUACCUAAUCAGAAAGCCACGGCUAACUAUGUG